UGUUGGUCCCCUCGCAACGAUAAGCUACGAACCCCGCCAGGCCCGGAAGGGAGCAACGGUAGUAG
rnacentral:SRP_RNA from 1 species